UUCUUCUCCUCAGACGGUAGAGCAAUGAGACUUUUAAUCUCAGGUCAUGGGUUCAAGCCCCAUGUUGGGCAAAA